UAGUGAUUCUUCUUCCUCCGUAGACAUUUGUUCACACACCUCACCAAGGUCCUUAUAACAGAAGGAACCGAGCCCCUUCACCAAGGUCCUUAUAACAGAAGGAACCGAGCCCCUACACCAAGGUCCUUAUAACAGAAGGAACCGAGCCCCUUCACCAAGGUCCUUAUAACAGAAGGAACCGAGCCCCUACACCAAGGUCCUUAUAACA